CUUUUGAGCAGUGCAUGGCCGUGUAUUUCGAGUGGUUUUCAAAUGAAGGAGGGAUAUUUGUAACAAGAUACCUGACCCAGUGAAGUGAGGGAUAAUGGGUCGCCACUCCUCUGACAGGGAGGAGGACAGCCGUAGCAGGAGGAAGAAGAAGGAGAAGCACAGAAGGUACUCCUCUUCCACCAGCUCCUCUGGCAGCCGGGUGACCAGCCGCAGCAAGAGGUCCAGCUGACGCGGCCGCUCGCGGAGCCGCUCCAGAGACAAAGACAGAGACAGAAGACGCAGGCGGCGGUCCAGCAGCAGCUCGUCCCACAGGAGAUAGAGACUGAGGCAGGACCAACUGCUCCCAUAGGUCACACAGCCCCGCAGGUCUCAUGAGCGGCGGCGGUCUCUCAGCAGGAGCAUGGCUGGUCCAGCCUCAAGAAGAGCCACAGCCGAGACCGCAGCUGGCGGAAGGGCCGCGACAAAGACAAGGAGGACAGGGAGAGGGACUACGGCAGGGACCGAGACCGAGCCAAGGACAAAGACAAGAGGUCCGACAAACAAGGGGACAGCGCCAGCAUCAAAGCAGCAUUAGAACAUCUGAAACAACAGUGACAGCACCAUCAACAAAAACGGAAGGGAUCAGUUGCAGCUCUGUCGAAGCCUGGGACUGUACUUUGUCAAUGUUUCCCGUCUGUAACAAAAAUUAUCCACUACCCA